rnacentral:miRNA from 14 species
UAUGAGUGUAUGUAUGUGUGCAUGUGUAUAUAUAUAUAUAUACAUAUACACACACACAUAAUCAUGUAAAAAAAGACCACAAAAUCACAUAUAAUUGA